AUUGAACGCUGGCGGAAUGCUUUACACAUGCAAGUCGAACGGCAGCACGGGUGCUUGCACCUGGUGGCGAGUGGCGAACGGGUGAGUAAUAUAUCGGAACGUACCCAGUAAUGGGGGAUAACUAACCGAAAGGUUAGCUAAUACCGCAUACGCCCUGAGGGGGAAAGCGGGGGAUCGAAAGACCUCGCGUUAUUGGAGCGGCCGAUAUCUGAUUAGCUAGUUGGUGAGGUAAAGGCUCACCAAGGCGACGAUCAGUAGCUGGUCUGAGAGGAUGAUCAGCCACAAUGGAACUGAGACACGGUCCAGACUCCUACGGGAGGCAGCAGUGGGGAAUUUUGGACAAUGGGGGAAACCCUGAUCCAGCCAUUCCGCGUGAGUGAAGAAGGCCUUCGGGCUGUAAAGCUCUUUCGGCAGGGAAGAAACGCUCUGGAUUAAUACUCCGGGGUAAUGACGGUACCUGAAGAAGAAGCACCGGCUAACUACGUGCCAGCCGCCGCGGUAA
rnacentral:rRNA from 1 species